rnacentral:rRNA from 1 species
GUGUCAGCAGCCGCGGUAAUACCAGCUCUCCGAGUGGUAGGGACGAUUAUUGGGCUUAAAGCGUCCGUAGCCGGCUUAGCAAGUCUCCUGUUAAAUUCAGCGACCUAAUCGUUGAGCCGCGGGAGAUACUACUAGGCUAGGAGGCGGGAGAGGUCGACGGUACUUCCGGGGUAGGGGUGAAAUCCUAUAAUCCCGGGAGGACCACCAGUGGCGAAGGCUGUCGACUAGAACGCGCUCGACGGUGAGGGACGAAAGCUGGGUGAGCGAACCGGAUUAGAUACCCUGGUAGUCCAGGCGGUAAACGAUGCGGGCUGGGUGUCACCGGAGUCACGAGCUCCGGUGGUGCCGGAGGGAAGCCGUUAAGCCCGCCGCCUGGGAAGUACGGUCGCAAGACUGAAACUCAAAUGAAUUGACGGGG